AAACCAUGGUGAGGGCACCUUUUCAAUAGGUCCUUGAAUCUCUCCCAUGCAUCAUAACGAGUUUCUAAAUCCAUUUGCACAAAAGAAGAGAUAUCAUUCCUUAAUUU
rnacentral:snoRNA from 1 species